UCCACCGUGGAGGCUCUGGGCCCAGCCUGUACACCGCUGUCCCUUUCUCUGGACGCUUCUUAUCUGACAGUUAUUGUACCCAGAGGUCAGUUACCAUACCGCUGCCACUCAUUCAGAACAGAGAUGUUGGUCACAUCUCUCUCAGCAUGACGGGACGCCCCUAGGGAAGCCCCUUAGCAGCUUGUCGUGCACACCGCAUCUUUGCCCAUCUAAGAAGGAAAGCCAGGCUCUAUCUGAUCUGAUAAUACACAGAAGAUUUGAUCCUUACUCUGUUCCUUCCUGCCCUGACGUAUGCCUGGGAGACUCACCUCUACAAAUUACAUUAUCUGGACUGUGUUGCACCUGACUUCUGGUUGGGUUUGGCCAAUGAAAGGAGGAGUGGAGGAAUUACGUGGGUUGGCUGUCACCAACAGAGCCUCCAAACCCCAUCGGGACGUUUCUACAGCCCUUGUAACCACCUCUGGACAAAAUGGAUUCUGUGCAUCCAGGGCUUUGGGGUCUCCCGAAGUCACGUCGAACAAGUUUAAUGUUAUUUCUCAAAGCAAAUCUGAAUCUCACAUGUGAAUUAUUGAACGUCUUGCCGAUGGAGCAUUUUCUACAAGCUGCCUUCCCCCCAAGUGCCCAGGGAGACACGCGGCCAGCUGCCUGCCGCCGGUGUCUGCGCGCUGAGACCAACAGAGCAGUUAUUCAAAUAAUAGGAAAUAUUAACACUGACGUU